GCCAGAGUGGCACAGUGGUUUGGAUGUUCGGCUAUGACUCUGGAGACCAGGGUUCGAAUCCCAGCUUGACC